CUGGUACUGAGACUGUAUCAGAAGGAAUGCUGGAGGAUACACACUGAGACCUCACAAUGAUACUUGGAUUCUCAGUGUCACCAAAGCCUUCCCCAGGGCUUUAGAACCAGUUCUGGGAGUUUCAUGCUUCUGUAGCUCAGGGAAGGGAUUCAUCACAGUGGAAGGCAGCUGCUCUUCCUGUCACUAAAUAGAGGAAGACAUGCAAAUGGGGAUCCUCCCUCUGGGCAUGAAUCAGCUCAAAACCUGUGUCUGCUGCUCUGGGAGAGGAGCUUCUCCUUGUGUGGCCUUUCCCAGCUGAGGACUGACACUGUAGAGCCUGAAUCAUGGGAUUUGGACUCAAUGGCAUUUUCAUUCUGAUGAUUGUGCAAGGUGUCCAUUGUGAUAUUCAGCUGGUGGAGUCUGGGGGAGAUGUAAGACAGCCUGGAGGAUCCUUGAAACUCUCCUGCAAAGCUUCUGGAUUCACCUUCAGCAGCUAUGACAUGAAUUGGGUCCGACAAGCUCCAGGAAAGGGGCUGGAGUGGGUCUCAACAAUUGGUACUGGAAGUAGCACAUACUAUGCAGACUCUGUGAAAGGCCGAUUCACCAUCUCCAGGGACAAUGGCAACAGCCUGCUGCACCUGCAGAUGAAUUCCCUGAAAGACGAGGACACAGCCACGUAUUACUGUGCAAGAGACACAGUGAGGGAGAGCAGUGAGAGAGCAGACAAAAACCUCCUCUCCAGAGAGUUCUGGUGGAGAAUGACAGAGAGGGAACUCCAGAACUCUGAGCACAAGGAGCCCAGUUACAACAACAGGUGGGGAGUGAAGCUGACAAGUGUAUUUCCAAGGUCUGCGAUUUUCUCCCAAAUCCCACUAAAUAUCCCUUUCUCUUACUUAAGUCCUUUUUGUCUCUGCUGCUCUUUCCUGAUAAGCAGAGGCUCAGGGAGGAGAUGUAUUCUUUUAAUGCUUUACAUAUUUUGUAUAUCAUGACUCUAAUUUCUCUGAUGUUGUCAGACAUGAAGCAGAGACAAAGUCACAUGACAAAUGAGGAAUCACUGAACAUUCACUACAGGCAUUCUGCAGGGUUUUCAUACACUCUGAGCACCAGGCAACAUACUUGUGUUGAAAAGUUAGCUAGUGGGGCAAUUAGGUGCUUAGUGAAUAGAGAGCCAGGUCCAGAGAUGGGAGGUCGUGGAUUCAAAUCUGGCUUCAGAUACUUCAGCCUUGUAGGGAUAUGAAAAGCUUGUUUGAGGGUGUAGAAAUUUGUUUCUGGAAUGCUGAUAAGCAGAAUUUAUCUCAGCUGAAAUUGGUGAGACUUGUCUUUUAAGAAAAAAGAAGGCUUCUGGGAUCGAAUGGUGACAAAGUACACAAAGGACGGAGAAUGUCCUGGGAUGGUUACAGAGGCAUAUUCUGGUAUCAACUGGGAAUGGACCUUUUCUGACCAACUAGGCUGUUAAUCCUUGAGUGAUACAAUAAUUACAUGAGCCAGUGAUAGCUUUGGCCUGUAUGUGAAGCCCUCACUAUGUGUCCCUUGGGACAUGAGGAAAUAUUUUCCCUGUUGGGCCUGUUCCUUUGUGACAAAUUCCCACAAUCAGCACAUAACGCAAUUUGUAAAAUUAAAGUUUCCAUUUCCUCAAACAACCUAUUAGGUUAAUAAUUGAAAAUUCUUAAAUUGUUAGGGAACAUAUUUUGAAAAGC